rnacentral:rRNA from 2 species
GACGAACGCUGGCGGCGUGCCUAAUACAUGCAAGUCGAACGAACUCUGGUAUUGAUUGGUGCUUGCAUCAUGAUUUACAUUUGAGUGAGUGGCGAACUGGUGAGUAACACGUGGGAAACCUGCCCAGAAGCGGGGGAUAACACCUGGAAACAGAUGCUAAUACCGCAUAACAACUUGGACCGCAUGGUCCGAGUUUGAAAGAUGGCUUCGGCUAUCACUUUUGGAUGGUCCCGCGGCGUAUUAGCUAGAUGGUGGGGUAACGGCUCACCAUGGCAAUGAUACGUAGCCGACCUGAGAGGGUAAUCGGCCACAUUGGGACUGAGACACGGCCCAAACUCCUACGGGAGGCAGCAGUAGGGAAUCUUCCACAAUGGACGAAAGUCUGAUGGAGCAACGCCGCGUGAGUGAAGAAGGGUUUCGGCUCGUAAAACUCUGUUGUUAAAGAAGAACAUAUCUGAGAGUAACUGUUCAGGUAUUGACGGUAUUUAACCAGAAAGCCACGGCUAACUACGUGCCAGCAGCCGCGGUAAUACGUAGGUGGCAAGCGUUGUCCGGAUUUAUUGGGCGUAAAGCGAGCGCAGGCGGUUUUUUAAGUCUGAUGUGAAAGCCUUCGGCUCAACCGAAGAAGUGCAUCGGAAACUGGGAAACUUGAGUGCAGAAGAGGACAGUGGAACUCCAUGUGUAGCGGUGAAAUGCGUAGAUAUAUGGAAGAACACCAGUGGCGAAGGCGGCUGUCUGGUCUGUAACUGACGCUGAGGCUCGAAAGUAUGGGUAGCAAACAGGAUUAGAUACCCUGGUAGUCCAUACCGUAAACGAUGAAUGCUAAGUGUUGGAGGGUUUCCGCCCUUCAGUGCUGCAGCUAACGCAUUAAGCAUUCCGCCUGGGGAGUACGGCCGCAAGGCUGAAACUCAAAGGAAUUGACGGGGGCCCGCACAAGCGGUGGAGCAUGUGGUUUAAUUCGAAGCUACGCGAAGAACCUUACCAGGUCUUGACAUACUAUGCAAAUCUAAGAGAUUAGACGUUCCCUUCGGGGACAUGGAUACAGGUGGUGCAUGGUUGUCGUCAGCUCGUGUCGUGAGAUGUUGGGUUAAGUCCCGCAACGAGCGCAACCCUUAUUAUCAGUUGCCAGCACUAAGUUGGGCACUCUGGUGAGACUGCCGGUGACAAACCGGAGGAAGGUGGGGAUGACGUCAAAUCAUCAUGCCCCUUAUGACCUGGGCUACACACGUGCUACAAUGGAUGGUACAACGAGUUGCGAACUCGCGAGAUUAAGCUAAUCUCUUAAAGCCAUUCUCAGUUCGGAUUGUAGGCUGCAACUCGCCUACAUGAAGUCGGAAUCGCUAGUAAUCGCGGAUCAGCAUGCCGCGGUGAAUACGUUCCCGGGCCUUGUACACACCGCCCGUCACACCAUGAGAGUUUGUAACACCCAAAGUCGGUGGGGUAACCUUUUAGGAACCAGCCGCCUAAGGUGGGACAGAUGAUUAGGGUG